rnacentral:misc_RNA from 1 species
AACAACAUAUUAUAUAUAUUUUACAAAAGAUAACACUUAUAAUUUUUUUUUCCAAUGUCCAUAGCUAAAUUUGCUCUAGCCUAAAAUAAGAUGGGAUGGGUAUGGCCAUGUUGAACCCACUCCAUAUUUAACCUAUUGCCAUUCCUCCUAGAAACAUGAAAUCGCAUAGGUCAAAUUGACAAUCUAAAAAUAGAAAGGUGUUUUAUUUUAAUUACCAUUCCACCUCUCUAUUCUAAUUAUAAUUAAAUGUGAUUAUUCUCAUAACACCUUACCCCAAAUCAUUUGUUAUUCCAAACAUUAAGCGUCUAGUUUGAAACGAAGGAAGAAAAAAAAAUUUAACCAUAUGCUUUUGACCAAAUCAAUGUAAGGGAACUUGGUACAAAAGAACUAAAAAAAAAAAAAAAG